rnacentral:rRNA from 1 species
UAGCAUAUGCUUUCCUCCUGGAGAUUAAGCCAUGCAAGUUUAAGUAUAAGUCAUAUACGGGGAAACUGCGAACGGCUCAUUAAAACAGUUAUAAUUUAUUUGAUAAUGUUUUUUAUAUGGAUAACCAUUUUGGGAAAAUAUGGCUAAUACAUGCUUAAAGACCUUCGGGUUGUAUUUAUUAGUUUUGACCAAUUUUAGAUUGUGAUGAGUCAUAAUAACUGAUUGAAGCGCACUUGUGUGCGCUAAAUUUUUCAAGUAUUUGCCCUAUCAGAUUGUUGGUAGUGUAUUGGACUACCAAGUUGAUCACGGGUAACGGAGAAUUAGGGUUUGAUUCCGGAGAGGGAGCCUGAGAAACGGCUACCACAGCUACGGUAGGCAGCAGGUGGGUAAAUUACCCAAUCCAAAAUUUGGAAGGUAGUUACAGGAAAUUUGUUGCAUGGGAUUUUAUUCCAGACACAAACGAACACAUGUAAGUAUUGUGUGUUUAAUU